CACAUUUGUAGUGGACCUGGGAUUUCUAGAAGUGCCAAUGGAUGAAGAUAAUCAAAGAGAAUACUUCAAAAUGAGAAGAUCCUGCCAUGGAAAAGACGACUGGGUGGACAUAAAGUGGAAAGGAGGGGAAAUAACUCACACCAUCCUGCAGGACACCUUCAGCUGCGGGGUUUUUGUAAUGCAGAUGGCCAAGGAAGUUGCACAGAACUUCCAACAUCCUUUCCCAAAUUGAUAUGGAACUUUCAAAAACACAUGGAGCAACUGCGAAAAGAAAUGGCUGAGGAUAUACAAAAAAUGUCUGGUAUGUAAUGACAUUUAAUUCAUGUUCAUUGUUCAUAGAUGAGAGCACCCCUCCAGCUUGGAUGGAGUCUGUCACUCCUAAGCAGGCCAGGCUUGGUCCUGUUUGUGGGUGAGUCCCAGAAAGAGGGCCAAUUAUUUACAAAUUCUAUCUUUUGGGAAGGGCAGAAAACAGUUUUCAACCAGCAAUUGAGUUGUGAGACACUGCUGUAGAAGCUCAUCACUCCCCCUAACUGGGAGGGGGCCAGAGACAAUUACUUGAUGCCGACACAUCUUUCUAGCUGAUUUACACGCUGAAGCUAUGUUGAGCUUGGUGACCUCUGACUGUUUCAUCCUAACAUCGUUGGUGCCGACGUGGAUAACAAUAUCUCUCUACUCUCGUCAGUUUUAGCCUUAGCCAGCACCAUCUUCAGAUUAGCCUGAUCGUUGGUAGCCCUGCCCCCAUGUAAACAGUGUAUGAUCGCUGGAUGAUUUAUUUUUAAGUCUACCACUACGGGUAAUGGAGUCACCAAUGACAAGGGUGUUCAAUUUGUCAGAGCUAAUGGUGGGAGGCUUCGGCGUCUCAGACCCCGUAACGGGUGGAGGGGAAACCAGAGAAGACUCGGAUUCUGACUCGUUGCUUAAUACCGAGGAAAAGACAGUUUCAAGUUGGAUAUUCGACGGAUAUUCGCGCUUUCAAACCUCAAUAGCUUACAAAUCAUUUGAGCCACGACUACAAAUAAGUAUCAUUAUGUUGGAGAAAUUGCGCACAACAUUGCACUGUUCUUAUUUUCACGUUUGGACAUUAAUUCGCUUUCAAAAGCUAAUAAACAUGUGGAAAUGUGAGCAGCAUUUUGUAUUCCUAGUUGAAUUAGUUAGGGAGCAUAAACAAAGUACAAACUUUUUUUACAUUAGAAUUUCAAUAGCUCCUUGGUCAUGUGGAGCCAUGAUUGACUCAGUGGGUUUUGUCCACCAUGCCUCCGGACCUACUCACUCCCACAGUCAUACUCUUAACCUGAACCUAGUUUUGUCUUGUGGAAUAAAUAUUGUGGAUCUUAAUGUUUUUCCUCCUAAUCCUGGACUAUCGGACCACUAUUUUUAUUACAUUUGCAAUCGUAACAAAUAAUCUGCUCAGACCCCAACCAAGGAUCAUCAAAAGCCGUGCUAUAAAUUCUCGGACAACCCAAAGAUUCCAAGAUGCCCUUCCAGACUCCCUCCACCUACCCAAGGACGUCAGAGUACAAAAAUCAGUUAACCACCUAACUGAGAAACUAAAUUUAACCUUGCGCAAUACCCUAGAUGCAGCCGCACCCCUAAAAAUAAAAAUCAUUUCUCAUAAGAAUCUAGCUCCCUGGUAUACAGAAUAUACCCGAGCCCUGAAGCAAGCUUCCAGAAAAUUGGAAUGGAAAUGGCGCUACACCAAACUGGAAGUCUUCCGACUGGCUUGGAAAGACCGUACCAUGCAGUAUCAAAGAGCCCUCACUGCUGCUCGAUCAUCCUAUUUUUCCAAGUUAAUUGAGGAGAUAAGAACAAUCCAAAAUGUAUUUUUGAUACUGUCGCAAAGCUAACUAAAAAGCAGCAUUCCCCAAGAGAGGAUGGCUUUCACUUCAGCAGUGAUAAAUUCAUGCCAUCCCUAGGAGGGGUGCGUCACUUGAGUGGGUUGAGUCACUGACGUCAUCUUCCUGUCCGGGUUGGUGCCCCCCUCUGGUUCGUGUCGUUGGGGAGAUCUUCGUGUGCUGUACUCAGCCUUGUCUCAGGGUAGUAGGUUGGUGGUUGAAGAUAUCCCUCUAGUGGUGUGGGGACUGUGCUUUGGCAAAGUGGGUGUGGUUAUAUCCUGCCUAUUUGGCCCUGUCCGGGGGCAUCGUCGGACAGGGCCACAGUGUCUCCCGAUCCCUCCUGUCUCAGCCUCCAGUAUUUAUGCUGCAUUAGUUUGUGUCGGGGGGUUAG